rnacentral:rRNA from 1 species
GGGAACGUGCCCUUCGGUUCGGAAUAACUCAGGGAAACUUGAGCUAAUACCGGAUACGCCCUUUUGGGGAAAGGCUUGACUGCCGAAGGAUCGGCCCGCGUCUGAUUAGCUAGUUGGUGAGGUUACGGCUCACCAAGGCGACNAUCAGUAGCUGGUCUGAGAGGAUGAUCAGCCNCNCUGGGACUGANACACGGCCNAUACUCCUACNGGAGGCAGCAGUGGGNAAUAUUGNACAAUGGGGGCAACCCUGAUCCAGCCAUGCCGNGUGANUGAUGACNGCCUUAGGGUUGUAAAGCUCUUUUCUCCGGGACNAUAAUGACGGUACCGGAGGAAUAAGCCCCGGCUAACUUCGUGCCAGCAGCCGCGGUAAUACGAAGGGGGCUAGCGUUGCUCGNAAUCACUGGGCGUAAAGGGCGCGUAGGCNGNUGAUUUAGUCGAGGGUGAAAGCCCGUGNCUCAACCACGGAAUGGCCUUCAAUACUGGUUGGCUUGANACCGGAAGAGGACAGCGNAACUGCNAGU